CGCGGCCUAUCAGCUUGUUGGUGGGGUGAUGGCCUACCAAGGCGACGACGGGUAGCCGGCCUGAGAGGGUGUCCGGCCACACUGGGACUGAGAUACGGCCCAGACUCCUACGGGAGGCAGCAGUGGGGAAUAUUGCACAAUGGGCGCAAGCCUGAUGCAGCGACGCCGCGUGAGGGAUGACGGCCUUCGGGUUGUAAACCUCUUUCAGUAUCGACGAAGCGCAAGUGACGGUAGGUACAGAAGAAGCACCGGCCAACUACGUGCCAGCAGCCGCGGUAAUACGUAGGGUGCGAGCGUUGUCCGGAAUUACUGGGCGUAAAGAGCUCGUAGGUGGUUUGUCGCGUUGUUCGUGAAAACUCACAGCUCAACUGUGGGCGUGCGGGCGAUACGGGCAGACUGGAGUACUGCAGGGGAGACUGGAAUUCCUGGUGUAGCGGUGGAAUGCGCAGAUAUCAGGAGGAACACCGGUGGCGAAGGCGGGUCUCUGGGCAGUAACUGACGCUGAGGAGCGAAAGCGUGGGGAGCGAACAGGAUUAGAUACCCUGGUAGUCCACGCCGUAAACGGUGGGUACUAGGUGUGGGUUUCCUUCCUUGGGAUCCGUGCCGUAGCUAACGCAUUAAGUACCCCGCCUGGGGAGUACGG
rnacentral:rRNA from 1 species